AUGCGUGAAGACAUCGCUCCUGAAUCAAAUGGAAAAGACAUCAACACCGAGGUGUGAAAGCAACAAAUAGAAGGCGGGGCUCCCAGAUUAAUUUAGCACACCUGAAGCAAUAUGGUCACGGGAUAUCGGCGAUUUCUCGACUCCUUCCCGGGGAAAGCGAGGCGGGAAACUUAAGCGGUAUCCGAUUAAGACGCCAUCAAUGACAAACGAUGGGCUCUUGAUACUUUAAGGUUUAUGGGAAGAAUUAAACUACUUCCUCUGUCGAGGUUUAAUCCCUAGAUUAACGGAAGAACUAUACUGGAUUAAGAAGCGUGAAACCAGACCAGUUUUGAUACCAAAGGAUGGAUGCAACUUUUAACAAAGCGUCUUAAAGGAAAACAUUUUCAACUUUUUCUUCUUAACGUA